CGGGGUAUGGCGCAAUUGGCUAGCGCACUCGCAUGGGGUGCGAGCGGUUGCCAGUUCAAGUCUGGCUACCCCGA
rnacentral:tRNA from 1 species